GCGGUCUGUUAAGUCAGAUGUGAAAUCCCCGGGCUUAACCUGGGAACUGCAUUUGAAACUGGCAGGCUUGAGUCUCGUAGAGGGGGGUAGAAUUCCAGGUGUAGCGGUGAAAUGCGUAGAGAUCUGGAGGAAUACCGGUGGCGAAGGCGGCCCCCUGGACGAAGACUGACGCUCAGGUGCGAAAGCGUGGGGAGCAAACAGGAUUAGAUACCCUGGUAGUCCACGCCGUAAACGAUGUCGACUUGGAGGUUGUGCCCUUGAGGCGUGGCUUCCGGAGCUAACGCGUUAAGUCGACCGCCUGGGGAGUACGGCCGCAAGGUUAAAACUCAAAUGAAUUGACGGGGGCCCGCACAAGCGGUGGAGCAUGUGGUUUAAUUCGAUGCAACGCGAAGAACCUUACCUGGCCUUGACAUCCAGAGAACUUAGCAGAGAUGCUUUGGUG
rnacentral:rRNA from 1 species